CCAGGCGCUGGUGACAGUACGCUGUGCAUCUGUAACUCUGCUGGAUCAGGGGGCAAACAGUAUGAGCCUAUAAAUGUCUACUCAGAAGUAAGUCCCAUUGAUUUCUCUGUACAAGUGAGUAUACAGUUACAGACUUAAAGACUUAAGAGCAACCUUCCUCUGGGUUGCUGAUCCAGGUAAUCAAUAAGAAAGGCAAAACAAAAACAGGCAAUCUUUAACUUUGGGCUUCUUCUUGGAAAGAAACAUGGUACUAAGAAAUGACAAUGACGACAUCUCAGCAAUUGGCACCAAGAUUGCUAAGUGCUGCUCAGGAAACACGGCCAAGUUUAGAUGAUCAGGCCUAAAGAGUCAGCCUCUGGUUCAGGAACAAGCAAUUUCAGCUGUUUCUAAAAAUGUAAUUCUCUCUUCUUCUUUAAAAUAGAGCUAGCUCAGCAGUGGUGUAAGCCAAAUCCCUGUAUUUAUUCACAACCAAGACUGAGAACCACAGCUUUAACUCUAGUUUAUCACCACAAUAAAUUUUAGGGUUGGCUUUUGCACAUAUGAAAUCAUAGUAAUACUUCCCCUCCUUUUAUAUCCUUUUAAUUCUGAUGCCUGCUUUGUGGGAUAGAAUAUUCUAUAUGGAGCUGUGUGAGAACAGAGAUGUGCAUUGUAAUGAACUGAAAGCGACAGAAAGAAUUCUUGUGGUGCCUUAAAGAUGCAUUGUGGCAUAAGCACUAGUGACUCAGGUGCUGUUUGCUUGGUUUUUGUUUGCCUGUUACAUUUCUAUCCAUUUCAGCCACAUUCUCUGGGCAGUCAACAAAUGUAAUCUGAAUUAAUUAUUAUUUUUAAUUGAUCUGCCCUCAAGCUUGGUGGAAACUCUAGAUGUGGGGUCUCCCCUGCCAAGUGACUUUGUUAGACUCUUCAUAUUCAGCUGCCAAGGUUUACAUUCAUUCAUGGCACUGUAGAAUAACAUACCACUCAACAGUCCUGCUUUUACUGGGACAUCCUGGAUUUACAGAAGCCAUCCUGACUUACGUUUGAAAUCCCAGGUGCCCCACUUCUGCCCCCUGACCUCCAUUUCUGUGGUGGCUGCAGCAGCCGUGGUGGCUUCCACAAUGGCCUUUGCUGCUACCACCACCACAUACUCCCAGAAGCAGGCGCAGCACUUCUGGCGGCCACAGUGAGGCAGAGGAGGCUUCGAGAAGGCUUAGGUGGCCAAGGCCAAGCUGUCGCUGCCACAGUGGCAGAAGACGAGAUAGAGCUGGCGAGAGUAAAGUGGCAGUGGGUGGGGCAGCAGCAGUCAGAGGAGGGGCAGCAUGGUGUGCGGGGAGGGGGGUAUAGAAUAAGACGACAGUGCAGACAUCACCUCAGAGGGGUGGUACAAGCAGGAGAACUAGUCAGUCUUCAGAAGCCUUUUGCACCUUGUUAAAGCAACAUUGCCCCUUCUGCCAGUGCCCUGACUAUGCCAUCACUCUGCCUCACUUGAACUUGACUCUGCCACUCCACUAAGAAGUACCACAACAGUAGCUGGCUGCCCUGGUAGCCCAGAGCCCAGCUGGGCCAGGGCAAGAUAUUAAGAGUAUCACUCAAGAGAGAAUGGCACUGUCUGGGAACCACCUGCUCAAACACUUCACUGCCCAGUAAGGGGAUGUUCACAACCAGCCUGCCAUUAUUAACAUUUUUUCUGGCUGCAAGUGAGAUUUCUUCAGGAGCAGGCUAAUACUGCCUCUUUUAAAUUGGCUGGGAUGGUGGGACUGCUAUCUCUCACAAUUCUGCAGUCUUUUAGAAAUGCACACAUACAGGCAGCCAUGAAAUAAGGCAGCCAUAGUCCUGCAGAACCCAAUUAUGUACAGUGUAGGUAUUCAAUCAUGAACUUUUGUUUUAUUUCACAUACAGUCAUACCUUGGGUUAAAUAUGCUUCAGGUUGAGCAUUUUCAGGUUACGCUCCACGGUGACCCAGAAGUAACGGAAUGUGUUACUUCUGGGUUUUGCCACUCACGCAUGCGCAGACGCUCAAAAUGACGUGACGCGCAUGCACGGAAGCGGCGGAUUGCGACCCGUGCAUGCGCAGACUCGGGUUGCGCUCGCUUCAGGAUGUGAACAUGGCUCGGGAACGGAUCCCGUUCACAUCCAGAGGUACCACUGUACACUGCUCCGGCUCAGGUUAUGGACAACAGAGGUCGAUAAAGCUACUCUGAGUAGCAGAAUAGUUCAUAAAUAAUAUGCUAGAAUGAAUCUUACAGACUUAUGAAAUCCACACGAUUUCAUGUUUUUGAGGCCUGAGAAUUGCCUCUGCAUAAAACCCAAGAGACCCAUGUUUCUAUGGCUUGGUGCAACAUCCCCUUCCUAGCAGAUAUAGUUUCCUUUCUCUUUCUUCCCCUUUCCUACCCUCUCCUGUGCGGCUCUCACGGUCUUCUUCACCCCUCACUCUGGGAAAAGACGAUUGAGGAGUUGCUAAGCAACCACAACAUUGCUACUCUUCAUCUAUCAGAUAUAUUCUAUUGCUUCAGCCUUGGUCAAGGUUAUGGACAAGGCUUGCAGCUCUACAGCUCCAUGAACAACAUUAUCAAAAUAAAGAUUUUAUGUUAAGAAGGGAGAGACAUGGGGUUAAUAUUGAAUUGAGUCCUUGCUUUGAUCAAUGGUUUCUUAAUGUUUCUUGUACAUCAUCAGUCAGUAACUAUUAAGGUGGGCAAGUUAUGCAGCAUUGCAUCAAGCAAUCAUCAUCCAACACUUUCCAAUGCAUUUUACCCAUCACUUCCUAAUUGCUAAAAGUAUAAGGGUUUUUGCAGACUGGGCUCGGGGCAGGCAGGUUUGUUGCACAAGAGCACCAAAGUGAUUUUAAAUGCAUAACCUGAAUUUCCCAGUAGGUGUUUGAAUUCCACCUGAAAAUAGCAACAGUCUGGAAUCACCCUUGCCCAAUGGUCUGAGAGAGUCUGUAUGUCAGCUUCAAAUAUUCCUAUACUAUUUGGCCACAGAACUCUUUGAAAUGUCACUUAAGGCUUAAGAUGCUUCUCACAGGACAUUUUAAGGAGAUAUGACUUAUGUGAACUACUGCCUCAGAAAAAAGCUUGCAUAGCCAUGAAUAAACCCUUCCCACCUGUUUGACUUCAGAAACAGCAAAUGUGCUGCAAUCUGCUAUGAAGGGAACCGUAGAGACUCAUUUUCAUUCUAGGCUUUGGAAGAAGUGGUGCUUCCAAGGAGUGAGCUAGGAGGAUUGGGAAUCAGCACAAUUAAGCAAGAAUCAACCCCAUCAAGGUUCCUAGAGGCUCAUCUAGUCCACCUCCCUGCAAUGCAACUAAAGCAUCCAUGCCAGAUGGCCAUCCAACCUCUGUUUAAGAAAGUUCUUCCUGAUCUUUAGUCUGAAUCUCCUUUCUUGUAACUCUCAUCCAUUGGUUAAGGUCCUACCCUCCAGAGCAGGAGAAAACAAGCAUAUUCUAUCUUCCACGUGACAGCCCUUCAGAUAGUUGAAGAUGUCAAAGGCUAAAAGGCAGAAUGUAAGGUGUCUGUCAUGUGCCUAUUGUGAGUUGCUUUAUAUUUUGUGUGUGGAUGAAGGAUAUGCAACUAACACAAGGGCUUAGGGACAUUUGUAACAGUAAGUUGUGUUUGUUUUGUGGCUUUUAAUCAUCAGGAAUACCAGCUCCUUGGGAGCCAGCCCUUUUGGCCCCCCCAAAUAUUUUGGGGGUGAGGGCUACUGCCCCUAAUGUCCAAAAGGAACAGAGGCAAAGCGUGGAGCCAAGCAUGGAAUGGCUGCAGUGGCUGACUCCUUCUCCUCCUGCUGCUGUGGAGGGGAAAGAGGGUCAAAAAACCCUCCUGCCAGUAGCUGCACCCCAGCUCCUCCUGACGUCAUGCGUGCAACAUUGCCCUCUCCCCAUCGCCCUUGCAAGCUGGCCCCUCGGCUUGAUGCAUACCUUUUGUAUUUUUCCUACUUAGAUAAUCUCAUGGUCUUAUGAUAGUCUGCAGAUUCCUACUGAGGAGAAAAUUAAAUGCUUCACAGAAGAACUGGACCCAGGCAGCACUUAUUUUGGAGACUGGAAGCACUGGCCCAUUACUACAUUCCAGAGAGGAACUGAAUAAGCCACCUUAGCCAAACUUCCCAAAGCAAAUGUACCUCUGGGGAAGAAGGAGCUUCUCAUACUUGUAACUGGGAACUUGCACGCUUGCCUUAGAGAGCACGAAGCUGCUGCCUGGGCAUGCACAUUAAAGGUGCACCACUGAGGCUAUGAGGCAAUCGCAAGCUGGGUGCACAGCAAAUGGGAGCAGCAGGAAGCAUCACAGCUCCAUGGUUAUUCUGCAUGUAGAACUGCAGUCUCCAGUGAGAUAUCAGGGUUGACAUGCUUUAUGUAUUGUUUUUUAUUGGUACCUUUAUAUUCUAACCUUCUUCCCAGAAGAGCCCAGAAUGUAGCUUCAGCUUCCAAGAGCUCCUAACCCUAACCCUAACCCUAGAGCCUGGCCACAAUGGGCUCCUUCAUGUAUUUUACAUUUUCUCCAUUGGGACCUUGGAGGAUAAAAUAAAGAGGUAAGAAUUUUUUUCUGAAUUCUUUCCCACCCUCAAUAAUUUUAGGGAGAGGUAGAAUCAGCUCCAGACGCAGGUGGCGCUGUGGGUUAAACCACAGACCCUAGGACUUGCCGAUCAGAAGGUCGGCAGUUUGAAUCCCUGUGACGGGGUGAGCUCCCGUUGCUUGGUCCCUGCUCCUGCCCACCUAGCAGUCCGAAAGCAUGUCAAAGUGCAAGUAGAUAAAUAGGUACCACUCCGACGGGAAGGUAAACAGUGUUUCUGUGCGCUGCUCUGGUUUGCCAGAAGCGGCUUAGUCAUGCUUAGUUAGCUGUACGCCAGCUCCCUUGGCCAAUAAAGCGAGAUGAGUGCCGCAACCCCAGAGUCGGCCACAACUGGACCUAAUGGUCAGGGGUCCCUUUACCCUUUACCUUUAGAAUCAGCUCUCUGAUCUCAUUAAUCUCAGAGUACAAAAUACAGUCCUGAUUCAAUCUCUUAAUGCUUAUCUCUUCUCCCUGUACAUUAACAUUCACCUGCUAGUGCCAGCUAACAAAAGCAAUCUUUCCACUCAAUUUUUCCUAUUUGGGGGGCCAUCACCACCACCACCAUCAUCAUAUAAAUUUAUAUACCACCCUUCAUUUGAGAAUCACAGUAUACAAACACAAAAAUACAUAACACAAUAACAAACAAAACAAUACCCUCUUGGAGGUCCCAGGCCACAGAGAGGUUAGGCUGGCCUCAACCAGAGCCAGGGCUUUUUCGGCUGUGGCUCCGAUCUGGUGGAACGCUCUGCCACAAGAGACUAGGGCCCUGCGGGACUUGACAUCUUUCCGCAGGGCCUGCAAGACAGAGCUGUUCCACCAAGCCUUUGGCCAGGGCACAGCCUGACUCCCUCCUUUGGCAAUCUUCACAGAACUCUAGCCCAAUGGUUGCCAUCAAUUUGAUUUGAAUUAAUUUUAUAAUGAAAUGAUUUUAGAAUGUUGUACUAUUUUAUUGUUGUUAGCCGCCCUGAGCCCAGCUUCGGCUAGGGAGGGUGGGAUAUAAAUAAAAAUUAUUAUUAUUAUUAUUAUUAUUAUUAUUAUUAUUAUUAUUAAUUUAAAAGGGCAUAGAUUGUUUAAUCAGCCCAAGGCCUGGGUGAAAAAGAAUGCUUUCACUUGGCACUUUAAAGAUAUUGUUAUAGAUUUGGGGGGUGCACUGAACCCUAAAAAUUAAUAAGUGGUAGGAUUUUGAGUAUUUGGGAUGUGAAAGGAAAAUACAAGCUGCAGAGGAAUUCCUGAGCUAGCCUAUGAAAAACGGCCUGGCCAAGCUAGGGCCAUUAAGAUACAAUACAGGGCCACUGACAAGGCAAGAGAGCGGUCCUUGCUCCUUGCCCUGAGGUGUGAACAGAGACUGGGGGUUUGGAAGGUUGCCGGGUAAACUGUGUGCUUGAGGUGACAGGAAAAGAGAGUUUUUGGAGCAAGGUGUUAAGGGAAGAAGAAGGGAGAGGAAAAGACUGGGAUCCAUCUUGGGCAGGGUGGCUGCAGGCUGGCAGGGGGAGAAGCCUUGAACUCAAAGGCUGUGCUGCUGUGGGGUUCAAGCCCCUCUUGUAAUGACCUUGUUGUAAGAUGUGGACUCCCUCCAGGCAGCCUGAAGGUGUAAAUAGGUAAAUAAGCCACAUUUGUUAAAGCUAUUACAGUCUCUGCCAUGUCUCAAUGCUCCAAAACAGUGGCGUAGUGUGGGGGGGUGCAGGGGGGGCCGGCCGCACCGGGCGCAACAUCUGGGGGGCGCGCUCGCACUCGCAGCUCUCUGCCCCUACCUGGCUCACUCACUCUCUCUCACUGCAGUGCUGGCUGUGCGAAUCCGAUCCGAGCCGCUGGGUCGCCGCCCACUGUGGAGGGGGUGGGUGCCAGGCGUGCGGUGCAGAGAGAGAGCGAGGGACCAUCUGGGGGAGGGACAGUGCAGCGGCCGCCCAGCGCAGCGCUGAGCGCGGGAGAGAACCACACCAGACCAGACCAGGCAGGAGCAAAAAGAAGCUGGCAGCGGCGGCAGGUUAGGGGUUAGGGGGCGCAAAUUACUUGCCUUGCCCCGGGUUAGGGGGCGCAAAUUACUUGCCUUGCCCCGGGUUAGGGGGCGCAAAUUACUUGCCUUGCCCCGGGUGCUGACAACCCACGCUACGCCACUGCUCCAAAAGAACAAAGACCCUGGACGAGUGCCUGGAACCCUCAGGAAUCUUGCAGAGAGUGGGGUGGCACACACCUUUUGUAACAAUAUGUAAUGAAGCUGUCUCUGGGGAGAGCAUUCCACAAUGUUUGGCUCCAGCCUAUUGCAGAUCAGGCUGCAGGGAUCCUUCGUGAACAUCAGACCUUUCUGAUUCCCUGGCUUCCAAACACAAGAGAAAUUGUCCCUUUAAAAAAUCUGCUCUUUCCACAAGCACCUGCACUUUUGCUCCCUGGUAGAUUGAGACUUUACUAUUCCUGCCUUCUGAAACUGCCUUCCAGUUUUCAGCUUUUAAAGAUUCAGGAUUCCCCAUUAGCCCUAGCUGGAAACAUCAGGCCCAUUUUUUAUUUUUAACUGUUAUCUGCCUUUCCCCUUCCUUCUCUAUUUUCAUAUUUCACUUUAUUUGUCCUUGACUCUUUCUUCCUGUCUCUUUCAAACAAACAUAAGUGAGAAGAAAAUGGUGACGGCUCUUUUGGGAGGGAUGUGCCUUAGAGUGGGCGCAACAUGGUUGUGAAACAACUCACCAGAAUGAUACUUCUUUCUCCUGCUGAAGCCCCCUUCAGCAUUUCAAAACACAAGUAGGGAAAUGGGACAUGAAAAACAACAACAAAAAACAGCCUGAACACUAUUAGGUAUAGUACAUUGUCUCAGACAGUGGGGUCACAUUUAUUUUUGUUGAAACAAAGUAAUACUACAGCUUUCAUGGAAGCAAAGCUCUGAGCCAAGAAACACACUUUCUUCUAACGCCUCUGCCUGCCUUCAAACCCACUGAUAGUGAUGGUCAGUCAAAUUACCUCUCUUCUGGUCUAGUGUCCACCCCACCCUCUUCAUCUCAUUACUGUAAUUGGCUUGGACUCUUCACAUUUCUUAGAGCAAAUACUCUUUGGACAGAAUGUCUGUCUCUUCUAAUUCCAGACCAGCACAUCCAGCUCCUGGAUAAGGAGAGAGGGGAAGCACCAAGUGCAAAUGGAAACUACUGUACAGUAUAAACGUCUUUAGAAGGGAAAGAUCCCACAUGAAAUUCAGAGCAAAAUAUUGAUGUGUCAGAAUAAAUAAAUAAAAAUCCCACAGGAGAGCCUGUGAGAGAAAGAUGGGUUUAAGUGCCAGGAACAUUUCUCACUUGUACUUGAAAAGUGAUUCUGGUUCUCAAACUGUGUGACACUGAAGUUUGCUAAUGGCUAGGAUUAUGUAGUAUGUCCAGAAAAAAAUCCAAACCACUCAACUCUCCAACAUCGGAAACUGGAGAUGUUAUGUGGCAGAGGAUCACCUGUAGACCGUAUAAGUGGCUUUGGAGAGCCCUUCUGUAAUUCUGUAAUUAUUUCUUAUUUUAGUUCUGCUCCCAGCAAAUUUAUCAAAAUGUAGGAGAACCGCAAAUGUAGCAAAGGCUGCUCAGGAUUGCACAGAGUUGAGUGAAAGGAUUUCAUUUGCUUAGCAAAGGAUGUCUCUGUGAAAGUGAUACACAUCUGAGGCAGCAGGGCUGGUUUGCAGGACCAGGACAAACCAUGAGGCACACAGAGCUCUGUGUGGGAAUGACUGUGGGGCUCCUGAAGAGCAGUCAGGGAGCUAUCGCUGUUUCCCCAAGCAUAUGCCCACUGAGGCAGAUGCCUCACUCUCCAUAAUGGUAGAGGCCCUGACUUUGAAUUACAGAGAAUCUAGAAGCCUCAUUUUUCUGUUGCCAAUUAGUUUUGGCCAUAUUGUAGGUUUGGAGCUGUGUCCAAGCCAUUCCUGUCCUUCCUCCAAUUUAUACAUCACACAAAAACACACACACACUAUCUCCUUUCCCACAGUCGCUUGGAAUUACUUGUCCUGACAGACUUUGGUAAUCUUCUGCAAUGGCCUCAGUAUAUGAAAGUCAAAUGUACCUCUGGGAGCUCUGUGUCACCUGUAAUCACAGCACCCCCCUGUUCACAGAAGCACUUACAAUGGCCGCACAGAAUACACCACUGGAAAUGUUGUCAAGUUUUAACUUUGUGAUAUUAUUCUCUUUCAGCUCAAAAGGAUUUGGAAGAAUAAUUGACUUUGGGAACAAAGAAAUGUAGAAGUCUCCCCCACCCAUCCACCCGUCUUGUCAGCCACUAUCUGUAUCUAAUUACAAGAGCCGCCACAUCUUAGUGAAUUCCAAAAAAGAUAACUUGUGAGGGUGCACA